GGUGUCCUCAGUGAAAUUGUCCUACAGCUGCUUGUUCUCUAAAGUCAGGAAAGUGUACUGUUCUGCUGAUGGAGACAACCUCCACUUCAGCUGGACUUCUGAUUCAAUCACUCGGUUGGAGGACGACAACAGAACUCUCGUACUGGAUAAAAAGCAUAAUGAAAAAGUCACCUGCCAUGUCAAGAAUCAAGUCAGUCAUAACCACAAUUCCUUUGAACUCCCAGAAUGUACUGAUUUCAUCAUUGUGUUUGUGUCUGUGUGGCUCUUUGAGGUCAUCAUCCUACUGUCUGUGUUAGUGGGAACAUUGCACAUCUACCCCAGAAUCUACAGGAAACGGAGAACACCAGAAAGACCAGGCAGGAAGCUCUGUAAACCUGAACAAGGAUUAGAAGAGGCAGACUGUAGCUGAUCUCCUCUAUAUGAACAGUCAUCACUCUCACUGAAACAUGAGAAAAAUGUAACCGUAACUAUAACAGAUGCUUAACAGAGAAAAUAAUCCUCAAUCCACAUCUGGACUUUCAAAAGCUAAAUCAGCCUCAUGAUUCCUGCAGAUUCAUUGACAAACUGAGUGCUAAUUUUGUUUAUGUUUUACUUCUAAUAUACUAACCAUAAUGUAAUGCUUUGAUGUUACUAUUAAAAUAAU